GUGAGUCAGGCCUCUCUGACCACAGGGAGCAGCCCCGGCUCCAACAUGGAUCAGGGCAGGGACCAUGCAGCAACGUGUAGCGGAGGCCACACCCGCUGGAUCAGGAGGCUGGAUCUGCAACCUUUGGGGCUACAAAGGGCACAAUGCGGGAUUCAGGAAGGCCUGAUCCAUCAGGGUCUGCUGUCUGGCGGUACAUGAAAUCCUCCCAGUACAGACUCUGCAGGACAGAAAGGCCCUCCGGGAUGGAGCUGUAGCAUGCGCGCAGAUUUAUCUACAAGAUGCCAUGCUUUGCUGCCACAGCCGGAUGGAGAAUGUUUGCUGUGGCCGACCGCUGGGUGAGGUUCACUGUGACGAAUGGCCAGACACGGUUCAUUGAAGCAGUCUACUGGACAGGGUUCCUCGUUGGAAAACCAGAUGAAGAUUGAAAUUUCAAGGAAUUAAGUCACUUGCUCAAUAUUUAUUC